rnacentral:siRNA from 1 species
GAGAGAUGGCCGAGUGGU